UUAGAUCUCAAGCUUUGAUAAACUCAAAAGGAAAAGCAUCACCAUCCAAAGCCACCAGCCUCACUCCAUUCUCAACCAAAAUCCCAGCCCUUCCACAUCUUGGCCUCCCCAUCAUCGCAGGACACCAUACUAUAUUGUAAGCUCCGUUGUCCCUACUGAUCCCAAAGAUCCCAGCAGGUCCGUCCUCAUCCCCGAUCCCCACGAACCUUCUUCCGGUAUCAGACUCAGUUGCAUCCACUCUCCAUUGUGUUGAUGUUACACAUGUUGACAACGCUUGAAACACAAUGUUCAAACUGGUACCUUCGUCAAUUAUAUCUAUGCCCUCCUCAGUGGGUCUAAAGGUGACUGGGAG
rnacentral:lncRNA from 1 species